GCACUGGUGAUUCAAUGGCAGAAUUUCUGCUUGCCAUGUAGAGGAUCAGGGUUCAAUUCCCUCCUAGUGCA
rnacentral:tRNA from 1 species